AAGGGCGGAGCUCCUGGAGACCACCUGGCUGCUUUUCCUAGAGUUAGCGGUUCUAUCCUGUCUUUGGACACUUUAGAGGGACCGGCAUCUGGCGCAGAGGGAGUGGGAGUGUGUGCCUGGAGAAGAGGAUGACGGUCACCAUGUCUCCCGAAGAAACCCCGACCCACAAACGGACAUUCCCUGACCCUGAGAACGGAGGGACCGGAUUCUCGACUAGUUUUCGCGGACUCAUUGUGUCGCUCCUGUAGUGAGAGGAACCCUUUCGAUCUGCCUCUAGAGGCCCAUAAAAAAGACCCUAGCGCCGAGGACCUACGGAUUCCCGAGAUGGGGGGGGGGGGGGGGAGGAGAACUGCAUCCUGCAAAUAGGAAGGGAAAGUUGAUUGGCUAAAGCCCGCGGCGCGGCGGCCAAUCGGAAAGCCAGACGGCGCCCUCCCUAGCAACGUAGCCCCGGCGUUCCAAAAUAGAACGCUCCCAGUACGUCAGGGGCGGGGCGGACGAAGGGGGCGCCGCGCGCCGUGCGUGCCCCGCGUCAGACGGAGGGUUCCAGCACGUCAGCCGUUACGCACGGGUCCCCCGUUACGUCUCCGCGCAGGAGGCGGAGGCAGCGGAUCCGAGAUUUCGGGGCCCACCUUCCCGCUGGAUGGAGAGUUACCCAGCGCCGGAGUGGGCGCUCCAGUGGAGGAGAACUUACCUGGGAGGCGGCGGCUGUGGGUGGACUGCCGAAGGAGUCCACCGAAGACAGAUACUGAGACUCGGCAGAGGGUGAGGAGCUGCACCGGGAGCCGGAGUCGUAGUCUCCGGGGAAAGCCUGAAACAUUUCCCUGGGCACAGGGGGGGCCCUGUGACCACGCUGAGGUCGCCGGGAAGCCAAGGCUAUGGCUGGGUGGGAGAAGAAAGAUGCGAGUCCGGGAUGAGCCGAGCGCGUCCCUAAAGUGCGCUGUCCAGGGAAAUUCGGGGUAGGGGGCAGCGUCCCGCUCCAACUAUGGCAAAGUUUCUGUGCAAUUCCUCUGCGGCGUCCAGGCCCCCACGAAAUGCCGCUAUGCCUCCUGAAAGUCCAGGCUCCGUAGGACCCAGGAGCGUGGCGGGGGUCGGGGGAGAUCGCUCCCCCAGAGGCGGAAAGCGCUGUCCUGCUGUAUAGAAUCUGCUUCGGAUGCGGUCUCCUCCACGCGUCCGGCGAGUCCCACGGGGGUCGGGGAGUAAUAAGAGGACUAAAGAAGUAAGUGGGUCCUCCAAAAUAAAAUGUAGAAUUAUCUAGAAGAAUCCUUCCAAAAACUUUCUCUUCGGCAAAAAAAAAAUAAUAAACCGAAUUCCACAGCCCC